ensembl:lncRNA LINC01877 long intergenic non-protein coding RNA 1877
GGAGCCCAAGAGAUGAAACUGGAGAGCAGAACAUCUCCAGCAGCAGCUGGGAUGAUGAAGCAUCUUCUCUUGGCAAAGAAGAACACCAAAAUCAGAGAGGCCAGUUAGGAGGCUACUGCAAUAUUUCAGGGUCAGCCCAAGAAGCAGGAAGCAGCAGUGCAGGGAGAAAAGAGUACUGGAUUUAGAGUCAGACACCCAGGUUCAAGUUCUAGGUCAGCCACUUCUUUUGUUAUAUGAUCUCUGGGGCUGAGUCUCACCACAGUUAACAGGCUGUGUCUGCAAAAAGGGUAUCAAGGUGAUAAAAUGAGGCAGUAUAUUAAAUUGUACUAAAUACCCAUUUGUAGGGCAAAACAGGCUACUAUCAGCAAUUUCAGAUGAAAUUUCAUUUUCAUCAUAAUUUAUGAAUGCAUUUUGCAAAGCAUAAAUAACUAUAGGGAUUAAGAUUCAAAGGGAAUUAGAAAGCAAAGAAAAGGGAUAGAGAGAGGAGAUUCUGGUAAGUGCCCAAGUUUGGUGUGAAUAGCAGUAUGAGGGUUAAGGAAGCACAACCCAGCAGCUUCUAAGUUUCUUAUAGCCAGAGGCAACUCUUUGAUCCCUGGUCUGGCAUCCUCUGUGUCAACAAUUAUGUCCCCUCUUCAACAUUCCUGAAAACUGUUGUUACUUAGAGGUCUGUGUAGAACCUUUAUGUAUUCCAAAAGCAGAAAAAUAUAUUACUUAGAACUCUUGUUUCCCCCACUCCCAUUCUCCUUCCUUCAAAGCAAAUGGAGAAAAUGGGGUUCGUAUGGUGGGGGGCAGUAACGUGGUCUCCUGGGAAUUUCCAGUUUUAUAAGCUUGCGUUUACUUUGUGGACUAACAGAUUCAGGAUUUCCAAUAGCCUAUAAAAUUAUUUUCUCUUCCAUCUUUGUUUAAAAUGCCACAAUUAGGCAGAUGAUGACUAUAUGUAUUCUAUAUUUAUUUUGCCUAGACAUAUUUUCUUCUUCUUCUUUAUUUAAGUUUGCAGUUCAUAGAAGCAGUCUUCCCAGCUUGAUUUUAUUCACAGAAGAAAAAAGGCACCCCUGGGAAGUGCCUGACAAAAGCUUGAAGAGAGAAGAGGCUCUGCUGUGGUUUGAAUGCGUCCCCCAAAGUUCAUGUGUUGGAAACUUGAUCCCCGAUGCAGCAGUACUGGGAGGUGGGACCUUUGAGAGGUGUUUAAGUCAUGAGGACCCUGCCCUCAUGAAUGGAUUAAUGCUGUUAUUGCAGGAGUGGGUUUGUUAUCUCGGGAAUGGAUUUGUUAUAAAAAGAAAAGUUCAGCCCCCUUUUAUCUCUCACCCAUAGGAUGCCCUUUGCCAUGUUAUGAUCCUGCAGGAAGACCCUCACCAGAUAUGGCCCCUUGAUCUUGGACUUCCCAGCCUCCAGAAUUGUGAGAAAUAAAUUUCUGUUUUUAAUAAAGUUCCUAGUUUGUUGCAUUCUGUUAUAGCUGCACAAAGCAGACUGAGACAGGCUCCUUUACUCAUGGUGAAGAAGGUAAGUCCCUUAUGACUUUAUCAAAUAAAAAUAAUGACUACAGGUAAAGGGCUAGAAAUUUUUAGACAAAAGGCCAGUGGGUAUCACAGGGAGCUUUCCAGUUGGCUGUUUUGGCAGAAUGGCAAGACUUUCCUUCCUCAUUCUCAAAGCUUCCUGACAUUUACAGCUUUGGAAGGUGGUGAGUGAGAAAAUUUUCCAAGGGACUCUAGACAUUCUCAGAAUCCCCUGGUUCCACACUUGCUAGAUUAUGGAAGAGAGAAGAGACACCUAAAAGGAAAAAAAAAAGGAAGGAGAAAGGGGAAUCAGCUCUUUAGUCCCCUAAGACCCACUUGGCUGUGGCUCCUGGCUGCCAAGGGUUGCCUGUGAGUGGUUCUCCAGGCAUGAACUGUGACCACCCUGCUAUAGAUUAAUCCUUUCCUCCUACAAAGUUGGUCUUCAGUAUACUUAAUGAGGGAGAAAUGGGAUGUCUUUUUUUCCUUCCAGAAUCACUCUAGUAUGACCUGCAGAAUGAUUAGCGUGGCUCAGCCUCAGUUGGGAUAUCAUGGCUUAAAUUAUUCCUAUUAGUUUCCAGCUGACCUUGGAACACAAGCAUUACAUGUGAUUUCAAUGAAACUUUAGACUUUGUUGUUCUCAGUUAACUAGUGAAACAGUUGAACCUUCCCAUGACUUGUGGUAAUUAUAAUAAAGGGUAAGUAUUAUCACAAAUAAUGCAAACCGAUUUACAAGAUGGCAAAGUGAUGUUCUGGAAGUUGUGCGCAAAGACAAAAUGUGAACUGAACACUUAGAAAAAAUGUAGUGCCAUUCAAAAGGUUGAUGCAUUACUGCCAAAAUACAACCCCACCUGACAGUAUUACUUUACAGUGAGUUUUGGCACAACUCACUGGUUACAAGAAACAUUGUGUUAACAGGAAAAGCCACUUUAAAACUCUGUUUGAUACUUAAAGCUCUCAAAUACACUCUAAACGUUUAAACCAACACUCCAAACUGAUUAAAGCAUUUAUGGAAAAUAAAAGUGUUUUGCCAGUGGGGAAAGGAUGAGGAAUCUUUGUUGUUGUUGCUUGUUUGUUUGUUUUUAUCGAGGUGUAAAACAAAACCCCCAAAUUUGACAGAUUUCCCAGUUCUAAUUAAGUUUUAUGAGGUUAAGAGUUUAUGCCACCCUUCUCAAACAAUUUAUCCAAACUCAAUGGAUUUUCAAAUCACAUAUAAUGACCCUUCUGGCCUAGGAGAGGGAUGGUGUCCUCUUGAUGGCCAUAUUCCUACUGUGGAAUAUAAUUCCUGGCACAUAACAGAUGCUUAAUAAAUGUGUAAUGAAGGUGGGAACUGUGCCUCAUAAUUCACUUUGAAGCACAUCUAGCAACUCAUCAUAUUUAAAUAGUCAUUUCAGAGAUGUUUCAUAUACUCUGUUUUCUAGGACUGGAGUGUCAUAUCUCAGCUUCUCGCCCCUUGAUCUCCAUAUGCCUGGGAGGAAAUGGCAUGAAUGAGACUUGAAGCUAAAAAUGCACUUGCUGAUUUGAAGAACAUUAACUGUGGCUGUUUGUGACCUGGCUGGAAAGGACAACCCAUCAUCACAUCUACUGGUAAACUUAUGGUAUCCAGAAAAAGCCAAAGGACUCUAUUGCAAGACAGCAUCACCUGGCUGCAGAGAGGGGAUCAUUUUGGGAUACACAGAAACCUGGGGAUGGGCAUACCAUGGAGUCUGGAGGGGCUCAGUAGUGACAUGAGCCCAUGGGAUGGGAUCAAGAUACACCUUUGCUUCAGCCUCCGUCACCAGUGUCUUUAGACACCCCAGUUUCUUCAGGAAGUCCCGAUGUACCAUCAGGUAUGAAAACCCUAAGAGGGAGCAGGUGUCAGAGCAGGAGGUCACAGGGCAGCCACUGAAGGAAAGCUGCAUUCUGAGGCUGGAAGAAGGAAGAAUGUCACUGAGUAGACAAAAUAAUGGUCAUCAGGGAAUUGGUAAAGUAAAGAGGAAAAGAAGAAUCAAGACAGUACAAUGCCAUGACAGCUCAAGUGAGAAGACUUUUCAUAAGGAGAGGGGAGACAACCCCAUGAAUGAGCCAUGUAGGUCAAGAAGAAUGAAGGCUGAGAUCAGUGCUGCAGAAAUCACAGGUAGCACAAGGCAAUCUGGAGCUCAGCAGUCCGGAGCUGGUAUAAUGACUCCAUCGUCCUUCUGUCUUGGUCCUUUUGAGUGUGGCUCCAUCAUCCUCAGUGAGUGGCUUCUUCCUCACGGUUCAAGAUAGAUGUCUGAUGUUUAGUCUUAUUCCUGCCAGCAGGAAGGAAGAGCAGAAGAAUGGCAUACCCACCCCCAACCUCCUGUUUUGAGACAGAGUCUCACUUUAUUGUCCAUGCUAGAGUAUAGUGAUCAUAGCUCACUGCAGCUUCAACUUCCUGGGCUUGAGGGAUCCUCCCACCUUAGCCUCCCAAGUAGCUGUGUCUACAGGAGCACACCACCAAGCCCAGCUAAUUUUUGUAUUUUUUGUAGAGACAGGGGUCUCACUGUGUUGCCCAGACUUGUGUCCAGUUACUGAGCUCAAGUGAUCCUCCUGCCUUAGCAUCCCAACGUGCUGGGACUACAGGAAUGAGCCACCACAAGUGGCUUCCUUUCCUUUUAAGGACACAUCUCAGAAGUUGCAUACAUCUGAUUAUAUCCCAUUAGCUAUAACUCAGUCACAUAUAGCACCCAGUAGUAAUAGAAACUGAGGAAUGUGCAUGGUUUAAAAAUCAUGGGUUCUGCUACUAAGGAGGAAGAGAGAACAGAUAUUGAGAGACAACCGGAAGUCUCCAUUUCUAUGGCCCAUUCUAAUGUUUGCCAGACCUUGCUGGUCAGUGAAUUUCUAUUUUCAUUUAAAUUGGUUUUUCAUACUCCAGCAUAUUUGUUCCUAUUGAGUUCUCAAUAAAUAUCAAUAGAUUCCAUUUUUAAUGUAGCAAAAUAUAAGUUCCAAGCUCUGGGAGGUUUCAUAUAUAUUAUAUAUAAUCAAAAAUGUUGGGGGCCAUUUUUAUAUAAAACAUAAUGGUCUCCAACUUUUUUGAUCAUGAACCACAAUCAAUACAGUUUAAUCCCCCAGUAUAUUUACACUUAUUUAUCAAUAUGCUUUAUAAAAUGUACCCCUAUAUUAAUAUAUUAUAUAU